AUACGAAGGGUGCAAGCGUUAAUCGGAAUUACUGGGCGUAAAGCGCGCGUAGGUGGUUUUGUAAGUUGGAGGUGAAAGCCCCGGGCUCAACCUGGGAAUUGCCUCCAAAACUGCAUGACUAGAGUACGGUAGAGGGUAGUGGAAUUUCCUGUGUAGCGGUGAAAUGCGUAGAUAUAGGAAGGAACACCAGUGGCGAAGGCGACUACCUGGACUGAUACUGACACUGAGGUGCGAAAGCGGGGGGAGCAAACAGGAUUAGAUCCCCUGGUAGUCCACGCCGUAAACGAUGUCAACUAGCCGUUGGGAUCCUUGAGAUCUUAGUGGCGCAGCUAACGCAUUAAGUUGACCGCCUGGGGAGUACGGCCGCAAGGUUAAAACUCAAAUGAAUUGACGGGGG
rnacentral:rRNA from 1 species